GGAGCCGUGCCUGAAUGCAUAAGGAUUACUUUGAUAGAGUAACACAUAGGGGUUAAAAUCCCCUCAGCUCC
rnacentral:tRNA from 1 species